rnacentral:rRNA from 1 species
UACAGAGGGUGCGAGCGUUGUCCGGAAUCACUGGGCGUAAAGGGCGCGUAGGCGGCUUGGUAAGCGUGCGGUGAAAGCCCGGGGCUCAACCCCGGGUCGGCCGUGCGAACUGUCGAGCUGGAGCACUGUAGAGGCAGGUGGAAUUCCGGGUGUAGCGGUGGAAUGCGUAGAGAUCCGGAAGAACACCGGUGGCGAAGGCGGCCUGCUGGGCAGUGGCUGACGCUGAGGCGCGACAGCGUGGGGAGCAAACAGG